ACAGAGCGAGACUCCGUCUCAAAAAAGCAAAACAAAAGAAAACCCUCACUGUGCAUCCUCUGCAGACUGGCCAGAACCACUUGAAAGUCAGUGGUCUCUUAUCAGAAAGGAAUGCUUGUUGAUUGUUGUGCAAAAACUACAAAAGGGAGAGACUGUGUCAGGCAGGCAGUUGAUAUCAAUAGUGGAUAUAGCCUUUCCAAAGGGCUAGUUGGUUUAACUCUUGGGAAAGAAAGCAAAGGAGGAGGUAGAGUGAGGCUCGUCUAACCUCUCCUCCUGUCAUGGCAGGGAACUCAGUUUUCAAGGUUUCUUGAGGUGGUCCUCUUGGACAAGAGGGGAUCUGUUCACUUGGGGGGCUUAGGAUUUCAUUUUUAGGUCUCAGUAUGUAUUAAAAAACCCACAGAGUAUAUAGAGUUUAGUACUAUCUGUGGUUUCAGGCAUCCACUGAGAGUCUAGGAAUGUAUCCCCCUCAGAUAAGGAGAUACUACUGUAAAUAUAAUCAUAUAAUUUAAGUAUAUUCUGUUCAAUUUCUUUCAUAUACCAUAAUGUUUUAAAAUAUUUAGUUGUUUUUUUGUUAGCCUUAUAUAGUAUAUGUAUGCUACAAUUUGUUCAUUUACUAGUUGAUAGUUCAAAUGUUCUGUAUUUUAGUAUCAAGAAUGAUGCUGCUAUGAACAUUUAUGUACAACUCUUUGGAUGAAUAUAUGCUAUCUUUUCUCUUUGCAAGAGUAGCUCAGAGAACUCAAGAAAACUGUUUACUCACAUUAACCCUGUACUGCAAAAGUUACAGAUGAAGAGCCAGAUGAAAGAGAUCCAUGAGGCAAGACAUCGAGUCAUGAAUAUGGAAUGACUUCACCUGACUUCACUUGAAAUUCACUUAAUUUUCAACUCUGUUGGCUAUGAGAAAAGGACAUCCAGGCCUCACACAAAAAUGGAUCAAUGAAUUGAAACUCACCAAAUCACCACCACCAGACAACGGGAUGCUGAGUCUCAUUCAUCAUGAUUGCUUCCUGAAGCCUUCUGAGUUCCUGUUUCCCUACACAUUGUUACAUUUCUUCCCUGCAACAUAAACCCCCAAUUUUAGUCCAUCAAGGUUAUAGAUUUGAGACUGAUCUCCCAUUUCCUUGGCUGCAACACCCAAUUAUAGCCUUCUUGGCAAUAAUUGUUGUCUCAGUGAUUGGCUUUCUUUGUGGCCAGCAGCAGGACCUAGACUGAACACCUGAUUUUCUGGUAACAGUAUAAUUUUUCUUCUUUUGUCUAUUGUGGUAGGUUACAUUGUUUGAUUUUUAAAUUAAACUGGCACUGCAUAGCUAGAGUAAAUGUGACUUUGUUGUGUUAAUUUUUAUAUGUUGUUGAAUUUGAUUUUCUUGUGUUAUGUUGAGAAUUUUACAUAUAUCUUUAUAAGAGAUAUUUGCUCGUAAUUAUCUUUUUGUAAAAUAUCUCUGUUUUUGCUAUGAAGGUUAUAAAAGUAAUUUUGGGAGUGCUCCCUAUUUUCUAUUAGAGAAUGAGGGAACUGGUACCAAUACUACCUUAAAUGUUCAAUAGAAUUCACAUUCGAAAUUAUCUAGGACUGGUUAUCUUUUGAGAAAAGUUGUUAAACAUUAUUCAGUGUCUUUAAUAGAUAUAGGCCUGUUCAGUUUAUCUAUUUCUCCCCAUGUGAUCAAUGGAAAUUUGUGUCUUUCACGUGAUUUUUCUAUUUCUUCUAAGUCAUCAACUUGUUGAUAUAAAGUUAUUCACAAUAUUCUUAUCCCUUCAAUGUUCAAAGAUUGUUAUUAAUAUUCAUGAAACUGGUAGUACUGAUCUUGCUUUCUUUUUUGAUAUUGUAUUGCACAUCUUUUCUCUUUUCAUGUUCAUUAAUUUGUGUGGAGGUUUAUCAAUUGUAUUCAUUUUAUUAAAGGACAAGUUUCUGG
rnacentral:lncRNA from 1 species